rnacentral:tRNA from 1 species
GGGCCCGUAGCCUAGAAUGGAUAGGGCGCAGAUCAAAAGCCUGAGAUCCUGGGUUCAAAUCCCAGCGGGCCCGCCA